rnacentral:misc_RNA from 1 species
AAAACUUACAAAUAUUUGCAGAGCAUAAAUUGAUGUUUUUAAUUGUCAAAUAGCUUGUCAGCAGUGAUGGAGCCAGGAAUUCAACUGAGGGGGGUCCAAAUUAAAAUAUGUAAUUUGUAAAAAUAAUAUACAUAAACAAAUAUAAAUUGACAAGAAGAUUGUUUAGAAAAUAUUAAUAAACUGUUACAAUUAAAUUACAAUAAUCAUCGUCUAUUUUUCAUUGACUGAAAUCUAUCGAUAAUAACUUCAUUGUCAAUACUUGCAAAUACAUCCCUUUCAAUGUAAGUCAGCAAACAAUCAUUUAGUAGCUUAUCUCCCAUUCUAUUACGAAGUGAACUUUUAAUGAUAUUCAUUACAGAAAAAGCUCUUUCCACGGUGGCUGUAGCAACAUAAUGAGAAUUCCAACUAGUAUCUCCCGGUCUCUUCAAUGCCAUUUCUUGAUUUAGACCUUGUCCAGUUUUUAUUUCACCUUUUGCAAUUCCUUCAAACACUUUCUCUAGUUUUUUUUCUCAAAGCAUGUCCCUGAUUCCUAAUAUUAGGUGGAUAGCUCAUUAUGUUAGGUCGCAGUCCUGGAUCAGAAGGAAUGUUUUCUAUAUUGACCUCAACUUCCUCAACAAUCACCUGCUUAGGUGGUACUGAUUGAAUAGGUUGAUUGAUUGAUGAUGAUGAUUAUGUAGAUUUAGGCAAAUGAUUCUUGAAAUUGUGGAGUAAAGUAGAAUUGAAGAAAAGAGUGAAGUAGAGAUGAAGAGAGAAUUGCAAAGGGGAAGCUCUUUUUGUUGGCAG